rnacentral:rRNA from 1 species
AUUGAACGCUGGCGGCAUGCCUUACACAUGCAAGUCGAACGGUAACAGGUCUUCGGAUGCUGACGAGUGGCGAACGGGUGAGUAAUGCAUCGGAACGUGCCCAGUAGUGGGGGAUAGCCCGGCGAAAGCCGGAUUAAUACCGCAUACGACCUGAGGGUGAAAGGGGGGGAUCGCAAGACCUCUCGCUCUUGGAGCGGCCGAUGUCAGAUUAGCUAGUUGGUGGGGUAAAGGCCUACCAAGGCAACGAUCUGUAGUUGGUCUGAGAGGACGACCAGACAGACUGGGACUGAGACACGGCCCAGACUCCUACGGGAGGCAGCAGUGGGGAAUUUUGGACAAUGGGCGCAAGCCUGAUCCAGCAAUGCCGCGUGCAGGAAGAAGGCCUUCGGGUUGUAAACUGCUUUUGUCAGGGAAGAAAUCUUCUGGGUUAAUACCUCGGGAGGAUGACGGUACCUGAAGAAUAAGCACCGGCUAACUACGUGCCAGCCGCCGCCGUAACAC